UACGAAGGGGGCUAGCGUUGCUCGGAAUUACUGGGCGUAAAGCGCACGUAGGCGGCUUUCUAAGUCGGGGGUGAAAUCCUGGAGCUCAACUCCAGAACUGCCUUCGAUACUGGAAAGCUCGAGUCCGGGAGAGGUGAGUGGAACUGCGAGUGUAGAGGUGAAAUUCGUAGAUAUUCGCAAGAACACCAGUGGCGAAGGCGGCUUACUGGUCCGGUUCUGACGCUGAGGCGCGAAAGCGUGGGGAGCGAACAGG
rnacentral:rRNA from 1 species